rnacentral:rRNA from 1 species
CUACGGGGCGCAGCAGUGGGGAAUAUUGGACAAUGGGCGCAAGCCUGAUCCAGCAAUGCCGCGUGAGUGAAGACGGCCUUAGGGUUGUAAAACUCUUUCGCUAGGGAAGAUAAUGACUGUACCUAGUAAAGAAGUCCCGGCUAACUCCGUGCCAGCAGCCGCGGUAAUACGGAGGGGACUAGCGUUGUUCGGAAUUACUGGGCGUAAAGAGUUCGUAGGCGGACUGACAAGUUAGAGGUGAAAUCCCAGGGCUCAACCCUGGAACUGCCUUUAAAACUGUCAGUCUAGAGACCGGAAGAGGUUAGGGGAAUACCUAGUGUAGAGGUGAAAUUCGUAGAUAUUAGGUAGAACACCAGUGGCGAAGGCGCCUAACUGGUCCGGUACUGACGCUGAGGAACGAAAGCGUGGGGAGUAAACAGGAUUAGAUACCCGGGUAGUC